CGUUUAGGGGUAAACCUGAAAAACCCGAAAAGUCGAAGGGAGAAAUUCAUUCGCGUUUCGCUGCAGGCGUGAAACGAAUCGAGCGACGGAAAGCGGUUCUCGCCUACCGAGCCGUUUGUUUUUCGAACCGGCAACGAUCGCGUGCACUUUUCUCCUGGUAGGACGUCGCGAUCCGUCGGGUGUCGUUCUAAGAUGUGUCGCGGUGGAGCCCGUUCGUCGUCCUCGCGGACGUGUACGAACGGACCCGCGCGUUGUUCCGACCGACUCGCCCGACGGUAAACGAAUGGUUCGUGGCCGCUAGCUAUCGCAAGCGUCCGGCUCGCGACAAGCGCGUCAGAUUAUGUGUCGACGAUCGGACCCGGUGCCGAUUUCGACCGCUGACGACUGUUAGUCGCGAAGUUCUUGGACAGACCACGUAAUAAGAACCGAUCUGCGACGAUAUAGCUUUGGGUACUUUCAGGACCCGUCUUGAAACACGGACCAAGGAGUCUAGCAUGUGCGCGAGUCAUUGGGAUUUCGACUAAACCUAUUGGCGCAAUGAAAGUGAAGGUUUUCCUUGCGAAGACCGAGGGAAGAUGGGUGGUUCGCCUUUAAAAGCGACCGCUUCGCAUUCCCGGGGCGUCUCGUUCUCAUCGCGAGAAGAGGCGCACCAACAGCGUACACGCUGGGACCCGAAAGAUGGUGAACUAU
rnacentral:rRNA from 1 species